GGAGUACUCCUUUCGUCCGGUAUUACUUGUCGUGAAAAUAGAUGUAUCUAGACAUAUUUUAAUUCUAAAUACAUCCAUUUUUUUAUCUAUUUCCAUGAUAAGUCAUUUAGGAUGGAGGGAGUAUUAG
rnacentral:pre_miRNA from 1 species